AUUCCCUGACAACUACGAGCACCUGCAUGAAGCGGAUGGCUUCAUUUGGUGACCCCGAUGUGAUAGUUAGGGAAU
rfam:Avian leukosis virus HPRS103 (subgroup J) complete proviral sequence